GCGAAGAAUUAGGAGGAGGUGGCUUAUGUUUCGAGCUUGCUAUAUUUGGAACUCUAGUUGUCUCCUGCAAUUUUUUUUUCGUUUUUUAUUCUUAUUUUUUCUCAAGAGAGUCGAAAUUGAUUUUACUACAGGUCUGCAAACUUUUUGGGGGAUUCUGCAUGUAAUUAGUGUGGGAUGAAUGUAAAAGUUAUGGGAAUUCAGUUGUUAUUCUUGGAAUAAAGUACAAGGUGAAAUUCCUCCA
rnacentral:lncRNA from 1 species